AUUGAACGCUGGCGGCAGGCCUAACACAUGCAAGUCGAGCGGAUGAAGGGAGCUUGCUCCUGGAUUCAGCGGCGGACGGGUGAGUAAUGCCUAGGAAUCUGCCUGGUAGUGGGGGAUAACGGCCGGAAACGGGCACUAAUACCGCAUACGUCCUGAGGGAGAAUGUGGGGGAUCUUCGGACCUCACGCUAUCAGAUGAUCCUAGGUCGGAUUAGCUAGUUGGUGGGGUAAAGGCCUACCAAGGCGACGAUCCGUAACUGGUCUGAGAGGAUGAUCAGUCACACUGGAACUGAGACACGGUCCAGACUCCUACGGGAGGCAGCAGUGGGGAAUAUUGGACAAUGGGCGAAAGCCUGAUCCAGCCAUGCCGCGUGUGUGAAGAAGGUCUUCGGAUUGUAAAGCACUUUAAGUUGGGAGGAAGGGCAGUAAGUUAAUACCUUGCUGUUUUGACGUUACCAACAGAAUAAGCACCGGCUAACUUCGUG
rnacentral:rRNA from 1 species